GACGAACGCUGGCGGCGUGCCUAAUACAUGCAAGUAGAACGCUGAAGGAGGAGCUUGCUUCUCUGGAUGAGUUGCGAACGGGUGAGUAACGCGUAGGUAACCUGCCUGGUAGCGGGGGAUAACUAUUGGAAACGAUAGCUAAUACCGCAUAAUAGUAGAUGUUGCAUGACAUUUGCUUAAAAGGUGCAAUUGCAUCACUACCAGAUGGACCUGCGUUGUAUUAGCUAGUUGGUGGGGUAACGGCUCACCAAGGCGACGAUACAUAGCCGACCUGAGAGGGGGGUCGGCCACACUGGGACUGAGACACGGCCCAGACUCCUACGGGAGGCAGCAGUAGGGAAUCUUCGGCAAUGGACGGAAGUCUGACCGAGCAACGCCGCGUGAGUGAAGAAGGUUUUCGGAUCGUAAAGCUCUGUUGUAAGAGAAGAACGAGUGUGAGAGUGGAAAGUUCACACUGUGACGGUAUCUUACCAGAAAGGGACGGCUAACUACGUG
rnacentral:rRNA from 1 species